UACGUAGGGACCAAGCGUUGUUCGGAUUUACUGGGCGUAAAGGGCGCGUAGGCGGCAAUUCAAGUCAUCUGUGAAAUCUCCGGGCUUAACUCGGAACGGUCAGAUGAUACUGCUUUGCUCGAGUGCGGAAGAGGAGAGUGGAAUUCCCGGUGUAGCGGUGAAAUGCGCAGAUAUCGGGAAGAACACCCGUGGCUAAGGCGGCUCUCUAGUACGGUACUGACGCUGAGACGCGAAAGCGUGGGGAGCGAACAGG
rnacentral:rRNA from 1 species